rnacentral:rRNA from 1 species
UACGAAGGGGGCUAGCGUUGUUCGGAGUUACUGGGCGUAAAGGGCGCGCAGGCGGCCGCAUUUGUCAGGCGUGAAAGCCCCGGGCUUAACCUGGGAACUGCGUUUGAUACGGUGUGGCUAGAGUUCGGGAGAGGAGAGUGGAAUUCCCAGUGUAGAGGUGAAAUUCGUAGAUAUUAGGAAGAACACCGGUGGACGAAGGCGGCCCACUGGUCCGGUACUGACGCUGAGGUGCGAAAGCGUGGGGAGCAAACAGG